CCUACGGGGGGCAGCAGUGAGGAAUAUUGGUCAAUGGUCGAGAGUCUGAACCAGCCAAGUAGCGUGAAGGAUGAAUGCCCAAUGGGUUGUAAACUUCUUUUAUAAAGGAAUAAAACGAGGCACGUGUGCCCUGAUGCAUGUACUUUAUGAAGAAGGAUCGGCUAACUCCGUGCCAGCAGCCGCGGUAAUACGGAGGAUGCGAGCGUUAUCCGGAUUUAUUGGGUUUAAAGGGAGCGUAGAUGGGUUGGUAAGUCAGUGGUGAAAGUUUGCGGCUCAACCGUAAAAUUGCCCUUGAUACGGGCAGUCUUGCGUUCAGUUGAGGUAGGCGGACUUCGUUGUGUAGCGGUGAAAUGCUUAGAUCUCACGCAGAACCCCGAUUGCGCAGGCAGCUUACUAAACUGUGCCUGACAUUGAUGCUCGAAAGUGUGGGUAUCAAACAGGAUUAGAUACCCUGGUAGUC
rnacentral:rRNA from 1 species